UCUACAAGCAGAUACAAGGAUGCCCUUGUACACGACACACGUGCUGCUUGUAUAGACAUGAGUGUUGUCUACGAGGGCACCCUUGUGUCUGUGUGUGUG
ensembl:miRNA